rnacentral:rRNA from 1 species
UGGGGAAGUUUUUCCGUCAAUGGGCGAAAGCCUGACGGAGCAAUGCCGCGUGGAGGUGGAAGGCCUACGGGUCGCCAACUUCUUUUCUCGGAGAAGAAACAAUGACGGUAUCUGAGGAAUAAGCAUCGGCUAACUCUGUGCCAG